ensembl:lncRNA
AACAACAACAACAACAACAUGAAUGUUAUGAAAUAUUAGAUGGCUUGUGGACAAGUAUAAUUUGAUUUGGAACUGAACCACAAAAAAGCUGUGCUGUUCUGCUGCUGUUCUGCAAAGCAUGGAUGGUAGGACUCAGACCUAUCUAAAGACUGAGUUUAAUUUUGUGUUCAUAAGGCACUUUGAAUAUCUCCAAUAUCCCUUGCUCUGCUCUCAGGUAACAGCAAUAGGUCCCAAGGGAAUGGCAUGGAGUUGCACUGCAUGAUGGUCAGGCUGGGUGGUAGGGAAAUAUUCUUCACCAGAGGGCAGUAGGCAUGGAACAGGCUUCUCCAGACAGUAGGCAGAGCCUCAAGCUGCCGGAGUUCAAGAAGCACUUGGACGACGCUCUCGGACAAAGGGUUUGAAUUUGCAUGUCUCAAUCUACCUUACACAGCUAAAUAGCCAAAUACAAUUUCAAGCCAAGCAUUCUCCUGCAUUGUCUCUCCUGAGGAGUCUCAUCUGCUGUUGUGUCCAGAAUAUGCAGUGUGGUUUAUAAACUUGCACAAUGGUUAGGGCACUGUACCAGAGGUAGGUGAAAGACUUUUGGUUCCCUUUUCCUCCUUGUCUGAGACAAGCUGGAAGGACAGGAGUGAUAACCAGAAGUGAAAACAGUUCAAGGCAGAAUGAGAGUGAGCAAAGAUUUCGAGUGUUCAGGGUACUGCCUGGGUUUGUCAAUCCUUCAUUGCCAUUUCUGUAGCUGUUAAGAAAAUUCAGAGGGCCACAAAAAUGAUUCAAGGGAUGGAACACCUCCCCUACCAUGACAGGCUGAGAGAGCUCCGGGGCUGUUCAGUCUGAAAAAGAGAAGGCUCGGGGGAGACCUGAGAGUGGCCAUUCGGUAUCUAAAGGGGAGCUCUAAGAAGGAAGGGGGCAGACUCUUUAGCAAGGUCUGUUGCGAUUGGACAAGGGGAAAUGGCUUCAAACUAAAAGAGAGGAAGUUUAGGUUGUAUAUAAGGAAGAAGUUUUUUAUGAUACGGGUGGGGAAGCACUGGCACAAGUUGCCCAGAGAGGUGGUGGAUGCCCAUCCCUGGAGACAGUCAAGGUCAGGCUGGACCAGGCUCUAAACUACCUGAUCUAACCAUAUGUGUCCCUAUUCAUUUCAGAGGAGCUAAACUUAUAAGUGUCCCUUUCAACUCAAACAAUUCUAUGAUUCUAUGAUUGCAUUAAAUUGAGGAAAAAGUUGUAGAGCAGGAACUAGAACCCAGAUCUGCCCUCUGCCUCCAGAUAUACCCUUCUCUGCUGAGCUUGGUGAACUUAAAAGUCCUUUUCCACAUUGAAAGUAGUUUAUAGGAUAAUAAUAGUGCCUUAUUUCUUUGUUGAGGUGCUAAGGAAAUACAAGUGUUUAAAUGCAAUCUUCUGCU